AUACGGAGGGUGCAAGCGUUAAUCGGAAUUACUGGGCUUAAAGGGCGUGUAGGCGUCCUGGUAAGUCAGAUGUGGAAGCCUUGGGCUCAACCCAAGAAUUGCAUUUGAUACUGCCGGGAUUGAGUCGUGCAUGGGAGGGCGGAAUUCCUGGUGUAGCGGUGAAAUGCGUAGAUAUCAGGAGGAAGGCCGGUGGCGAAGGUGGCCCUCUGGGCAAUGACUGACGCUGAGGCGCGAAAGCGUGGGGAGCAAACAGGAUUAGAUACCCCAGUAGUCC
rnacentral:rRNA from 1 species